rnacentral:rRNA from 1 species
UACGGGGGGGGCAAGCGUUGUUCGGAAUUACUGGGCGUAAAGGGUUUGUAGGUGGCUUGCUAAGUCAGACGUGAAAUCCCUCAGCUUAACUGGGGAACUGCGUCUGAGACUGGCAAGCUCGAGUGCAGGAGAGGAACGCGGAAUUCCAGGUGUAGCGGUGAAAUGCGUAGAUAUCUGGAGGAACACCGGUGGCGAAGGCGGCGCUCUGGACUGCAACUGACACUGAAAAACGAAAGCCAAGGGAGCAAACGGG